GGGCUUGUGGCGCAGUAUGGAUAGCGCGGUAGCCUCCUAAGUUACAGGUCGAGGGAUCGAAGCCCUUCAAGCCCG
rnacentral:tRNA from 11 species